CAAACCCUGGACACCCAAGUGCCCAUGACGUGCAGUUAUCAGCAAUUAAGGGAACGGUCACCAUGUUGAAGAGAGCCCUCAAAUACAGUGCCAGCAAUGUUUAGGGUGCAACUAUACUUUCGACCCCUUGCAUUCUAUUAAAAA